rnacentral:rRNA from 1 species
CCUACGGGAGGCAGCAGUGGGGAAUAUUGGACAAUGGGGGGAACCCUGAUCCAGCGACGCCGCGUGAGUGAAGAAGUAUUUCGGUAUGUAAAGCCCUAUCAGCAGGGAAGAAAGAAAUGCCGGUACCUGCCUAAGAAGCCCCGGCUAACUACGUGCCAGCAGCCGCGGUAAUACGUAGGGGGCAAGCGUUAUCCGGAUUUACUGGGUGUAAAGGGAGCGUAGACGGCGAUGCAAGUCUGAAGUGAAAGGCGGGGGCCCAACCCCCGGACUGCUUUGGAAACUGGAUGGCUGGAGUGCCGGAGAGGUAAGUGGAAUUCCUAGUGUAGCGGUGAAAUGCGUAGAUAUUAGGAGGAACACCAGUGGCGAAGGCGGCUUACUGGACUGUAACUGACGUUGAGGCUCGAAAGCGUGGGUAGCAAACAGGAUUAGAUACCCCAGUAGUC